rnacentral:rRNA from 1 species
CAGCCGUAAACUAUGCUCGCUAGGUGUCAGGGACGGUGCGACCGUUUCUGGUGCCGCAGGGAAGCCGUGAAGCGAGCCACCUGGGAAGUACGGUCGCAAGGCUGAAACUUAAAGGAAUUGGCGGGGGGAGCACUACAACGGGUGGAGCCUGCGGUUUAAUUGGACUCAACGCCGGGAAGCUCACCGGAUAAGACAGCGGAAUGAUUGCCGGGCUGAAGACCCUGCAUGACCAGCUGAGAGGAGGUGCAUGGCGUAGUCGUGU